AAUGCAAGUCGAGCGGACAUUAUGAUUAGCUGGUUGCCUGUAUUUUAAUUUUCGGACGCGGUGAGGUCACUUGGGUAACCGUAACCUACCACAGGGAUAGCUACAGGAAACGGGAGCUAAUACCAGAUGGUAAUUUGAACCUUUAGGUUUGUUUUAAAAUGUGGCUACGGCUACCACUUACAUAUGGACCCGCGCCGCAGUACCUAAUUGGUGAGGUAACGGCUCAGCAAGGCAACGAUGCGUAGCCUACCCGAAAGGGUGAGGGGCCACACUGGGACUGAAACACGGCCCAGACCCCUACCGGAGGGGGCGGUAGGGAAUCUUCCCCUCCGGACUAGACUCUGAUCGAACAGCGCCACGUGAGUGAAGAAGGUUUUGGGAUCGGAUCGCUCUAUUGUUAUGGAAGAACAAAUACCGUUCCAAUAGGGCUGGACCUUCCCUGUACGUAACCUGAAAGCAACGCCUAACUAAAUGCCUGCCCCCGCGCUAAUACAUACGUGGGAGGCAUUGUCUGGACUUAAUGGGCGGGAAGGGAUCGCGGGCGGUUUCUUACUUCUGAUGUGAAAGCAACCGGCCCACCCGGGGAGGGUCAGUGCAUACUGAGGAGCUUAAUUGCAUGAAAGGAGAGUGAAAUUCCACUUG
rnacentral:rRNA from 1 species